CCCUUAGAUGUUCUGGGCUGCACGCGCGCUACACUGACGCACGCAACAGGUGCCUGCUCCGAGAGGACUGGGUAAUCAUUUGAGUGUGCGUCGUGAUGGGGAUAGAAUAUUGUAAUUAUUACUCUUCAACGAGGAAUUCCUAGUAAGCGCCAGUCAGCAGCUUGCGCUGAUUACGUCCCUGCCCUUUGUACACACCACCCGUCGCUCCUACCGAUGGGUGAUCCGGUGAAUGAUUCGGACUUCAGCGGCUCCCCUGGGGUGCGCCGGAGAAAGUUUUGUGAACCUUAUCACUUGGAGGAAGGAGAAGUCGUAACA
rnacentral:rRNA from 1 species